GACGAACGCUGGCGGCGUACCUAAUACAUGCAAGUCGAGCGGACUUUCAAGAAGCUUGCUUUUUGAAAGUUAGCGGCGGACGGGUGAGUAACACGUGGGCAACCUGCCUGUAAGACGGGGAUAACUCCGGGAAACCGGGGCUAAUACCGGAUAAUAUCUUUCUUCGCAUGAAGGAAGGUUGAAAGGCGGCGCAAGCUGCCGCUUGCAGAUGGGCCCGCGGCGCAUUAGCUAGUUGGUGAGGUAACGGCUCACCAAGGCGACGAUGCGUAGCCGACCUGGGAGGGUGAUCGGCCACACUGGGACUGAGACACGGCCCAGACUCCUACGGGAGGCAGCAGUAGGGAAUCUUCCGCAAUGGACGAAAGUCUGACGGAGCAACGCCGCGUGAGCGAAGAAGGUCUUCGGAUCGUAAAGCUCUGUUGUCAGGGAAGAACAAGUACCGUUCGAAUAGGGCGGUACCUUGACGGUACCCGACCAGAAAGCCGCGGCUAACUACGUGCCAGCCGCCGCGGUAA
rnacentral:rRNA from 1 species